rnacentral:rRNA from 1 species
CCUACGGGGGGCUGCAGUCGAGAAUCAUUCACAAUGGGGGAAACCCUGAUGGUGCGACGCAGCGUGGAGGAUUGAAGGUCUUCGGAUUGUAAACCCCUGUCAUGUGGGAGCACAUUAACAAGAUAGUACCACAAGAGGCAGAGACGGCUAACUCUGUGCCCGCAGCCGCGGUAAUACCAAGGGCUCACGCGGUGUUAGGAAUCACAGGGCGUAAGGGGUGUGUUGGCGGGUUCGUAAGUCGUGUGGGAAAGGUGCGGGCUCAAACCGCGGACGGCACAUGAUACUGCGAGACUAGAGUAAUGGAGGGGGAACCGGAAUUCGCGGUGUAGCAGUGAAAUGCGUAGAUAUCGAGAGGAACAC